GAUGAACGCUGGCGGCGUGCUUAACACAUGCAAGUCGAACGAAGCACUUUAUUUGAUUUCCUUCGGGACUGAUUAUUUUGUGACUGAGUGGCGGACGGGUGAGUAACGCGUGGGUAACCUGCCUUGUACAGGGGGAUAACAGUUGGAAACGGCUGCUAAUACCGCAUAAGCGCACGGCAUCGCAUGAUGCAGUGUGAAAAACUCCGGUGGUAUAAGAUGGACCCGCGUUGGAUUAGCUAGUUGGUGAGGUAACGGCCCACCAAGGCGACGAUCCAUAGCCGACCAGGGAGGGAAGCCGCCCACUUGGAGGGGAGGCCACGGCCCAAACUCUUACGGGAGGCGGGAGGGGGGAAUAUAGAAAAGUGGGCGAAAGCAGGAGGGACGGCGGCGGGGGGAGGGAAGAAGUUUUGCGAUAAGAAAAGCUCAAGAAACGGGGAAAGUAAUGAGGGUACCUAACAAAAAAGCCCCGGCUAAAUCCGUG
rnacentral:rRNA from 1 species